rnacentral:rRNA from 1 species
UACAGAGGUCUCAAGCGUUGUUCGGAUUCAUUGGGCGUAAAGGGUGCGUAGGCGGCGCGGUAAGUCGGGUGUGAAAUCUCGGAGCUUAACUCCGAAACUGCAUUCGAUACUGCCGUGCUUGAGGACUGGAGAGGAGACUGGAAUUUACGGUGUAGCGGUGAAAUGCGUAGAUAUCGUAAGGAAGCCCAGUGGCGAAGGCGGGUCUCUGGACAGUUCCUGACGCUGAGGCACGAAGGUCAGGGAGCAAACGGG